CCUAUGAUCUACCGUGUCGAUUCCAACUCAGAGAAUCUUUACAUCUGGAGAUCUACAGCAGGGCUAUCCCUAGUGACAUGCGUGAAGGAGCUUGGAAAUGGUGCUGGGUAGGAGCUGAGUGUGCAGAAUGUGGAAAGGCAUUCUAAACCUAAGGAAGAACAUGAGUAAAGAUGAUGAAGCAGGGAUAAGGCUAAAAUGAAAUAUGUGAUCUGAUCCACAUACAAACACAGCGUAGUACAGCUGGAAUAUAGAGAAGAGCUUGAGGACCCAUGAGCAACUAUCCCAGUACUCUUGGAGGCUCUGCCACCACAGUUUGAGAAACUCCGCAUUCAAAGUUAAAAACUGUCACCUGAAUAGUUAAUAACAUCAAAGAUUGUGAAAGCAAGUAUAAAUAACACAGAGAUUAAAAUAAUGAGGCAGGAUCAGAAAGGGUUAUGGUGGCCAUCCAGACAUAAAGAAAUUAGAACGUUCAUUCACCUGCAGAUGCUCACACAUUCCUACAGGAUGACUGAAACCCACAGCGAACAAUCCUCAUGGAAUACAGCUCAGCUCAUUCUGAAGAAUAAGUGGGAGGUCAGCCUCAUGGGAAAUUCGAUAUCUCCACAUGCAGCUGUCAUGCCACGUGGAAACAGUCAUGCAUAGGGUCCUGUCACCUGGUAGACUGACCCCAGGUCCACUGACCCCUGACAAUGAUACCGCUUCUGAGGGCUCCAUGAUUGAGAUUUGUCCCCAGGAACUCGGGGGAAACUAUCUAUUGAUUAAAAUGAACUAUGAAA
rnacentral:lncRNA from 1 species